rnacentral:rRNA from 1 species
GAUGAACGCUAGCGGCAGGCCUAAUACAUGCAAGCCGAACGGCAAGAUUGAUAGCAAUAUUGAUCCUAGAGUGGCGUAAGGGUGCGUAACACGUAUGCAAUCCUACCCUCAACAGGAGGAUAGCUCCCCGAAAGGGGAUUAAGACUCCAUAAGAUCAUUUGGUGGCAUCAUUGAAUGAUUAAACUUCCAGGGGUUGAGGAUGAGCAUGCGCCNGAUUAGUUAGUUGGCGGGGUAAGGGCCCACAAGACGAUGAUCAGUAGGGGAACUGAGAGGUUGAUCCCCCANACU